AUGCCAGUCAAAAUAGUCAGUGUGUCACCUUGUGUGUGUCUCUCACUGACUAAUAAUGCCUUUGGUCUCUUCCAGGUGUCUCAGAUGUUCCUCAAUCAGCAGUCGCGCUCCACCACUUCCUUCCCCUUGGAUCUCCUCAAGACACACUCCACACCUACCCUGGUGACAGACAGCAACGGCAACCAUUUCCUCAUCGCACUGACCAAUCACUGUGCCGAGAGCCAAGGGAGUGAAAUGCCACAAGGCACUCCACAGGGCAAAGCAUCCAAUCGCAUCAUACUGCAGAGACUGCAGUCAACUCCCACCAAGCUGCCCAGCCAAUCCCCUCUUCAGUUGUCCAGCAGUGACACCCAAUCAAAACCGAAAACUCAACCAGGCCUCGUGAAACAGCCAACCAGAAAGGGACAGAAGGCGGGGCUGCAGGUGUCAACCAAUCACUCCCCAGGGGUCGCGCUCUCCUUCUCUGCCCCGCCCAAUCUCCAGCCUUUCUUCCCCAAUGAUGACUCCUCCCCUUCUGAAAAAGACACCUCCCCCUCUCCUCCAGCUCAAACAGAGGAUUUGAGUCCAGGUCUUGACCAUGAACCCCUGUUCAGCCCUCCUUCUCCCAAACAAACGCCCUCCCCUAACCCACCGGAUGACAAGGUAACCCACGCCACCUGGCUGUCUUUCUGUUUCUAUGUUUGUGUCUCAGAGGUCUCAUUAUGGACAACCAUGCCAAGGCUCUUCUGUAUUCACCUCUCAACUCAGUGGCUGUGUCAGGACUUACUAUUCUCCCUGUGUCUUGCUCCCAGGAUAAUGGUUCCACCCAGCAUAUGGACGACCUCUUCGACAUCCUGAUUCAGACAGGAG
rnacentral:lncRNA from 1 species